rnacentral:rRNA from 1 species
GACGAACGCUGGCGGCGUGCUUAACACAUGCAAGUCGAACGGAAAGGCCCUGCUUUUGUGGGGUGCUCGAGUGGCGAACGGGUGAGUAACACGUGAGUAACCUGCCCUUGACUUUGGGAUAACUUCAGGAAACUGGGGCUAAUACCGGAUAGGAGCUCCUGCUUCAUGGUGGGGGUUGGAAAGUUUCGGCGGUUGGGGAUGGACUCGCGGCUUAUCAGCUUGUUGGUGGGGUAGUGGCUUACCAAGGCUUUGACGGGUAGCCGGCCUGAGAGGGUGACCGGCCACAUUGGGACUGAGAUACGGCCCAGACUCCUACGGGAGGCAGCAGUGGGGAAUAUUGCACAAUGGGCGGAAGCCUGAUGCAGCAACGCCGCGUGCGGGAUGACGGCCUUCGGGUUGUAAACCGCUUUCGCCUGUGGCGAAGCGUGAGUGACGGUAAUGGGUAAAGAAGCACCGGCUAACUACGUG